UACAGAGGGUGCGAGCGUUGUCCGGAAUCACUGGGCGUAAAGGGCGCGUAGGCGGCUUGAUAAGCGUGCGGUGAAAGCCCGGGGCUCAACCCCGGGUCGGCCGUGCGAACUGUCGAGCUGGAGCACUGUAGAGGCAGGUGGAAUUCCGGGUGUAGCGGUGGAAUGCGUAGCGAUCCGGAAGAACACCGGUGGCGAAGGCGGCCUGCUGGGCAGUGGCUGACGCUGAGGCGCGACAGCGUGGGGAGCAAACAGG
rnacentral:rRNA from 1 species